rnacentral:rRNA from 1 species
UACAGAGGUCUCAAGCGUUGUUCGGAUUCAUUGGGCGUAAAGGGUGUGUAGGUGGCGCGCUAAGUCGGGUGUGAAAUUUCGGAGCUUAACUCCGAAACUGCAUUCGAUACUGGCGUGCUUGAGGACUGGAGAGGAGACUGGAAUUCAUGGUGUAGCAGUGAAAUGCGUAGAGAUCAUGAGGAAGACCAGUGGCGAAGGCGGGUCUCUGGACAGUUCCUGACAUUGAGACACGAAGGCCAGGGGAGCAAACGGG